UACGUAGGUGACCAGCGUUGUCCGGAUUUACUGGGCGUAAAGAGCGCGCAGGCGGUCGUUCAAGUCGAGUGUGAAAGCCCCCGGCUCAACUGGGGAGGGUCACUCGAUACUGAUCGACUUGAAGGCAGGAGAGGGAAGCGGAAUUCCCGGUGUAGUGGUGAAAUGCGUAGAUAUCGGGAGGAACACCAGAGGCGAAGGCGGCGACCUGGACAGUGACUGACACUCAACUGCGAAAGCGUGGGGAGCAAACAGG
rnacentral:rRNA from 1 species